CUGAAGCUUGGUGCUUGCACUGGGUGGAUGAGUGGCGAACGGGUGAGUAAUACGUGAGUAACCUGCCCUUGACUCUGGGAUAAGCCUGGGAAACUGGGUCUAAUACUGGAUACGACAUGUCACCGCAUGGUGGUGUGUGGAAAGGGUUUUACUGGUUUUGGAUGGGCUCACGGCCUAUCAGCUUGUUGGUGGGGUAAUGGCUCACCAAGGCGACGACGGGUAGCCGGCCUGAGAGGGUGACCGGCCACACUGGGACUGAGACACGGCCCAGACUCCUACGGGAGGCAGCAGUGGGGAAUAUUGCACAAUGGGCGGAAGCCUGAUGCAGCGACGCCGCGUGAGGGAUGACGGCCUUCGGGUUGUAAACCUCUUUCAGCACGGAAGAAGCGAAAGUGACGGUACGUGCAGAAGAAGCGCCGGCUAACUACGUGCCAGCAGCCGCGGUAAUACGUAGGGCGCAAGCGUUGUCCGGAAUUAUUGGGCGUAAAGAGCUCGUAGGCGGUUUGUCGCGUCUGCUGUGAAAGCCCGGGGCUUAACCCCGGGUGUGCAGUGGGUACGGGCAGACUUGAGUGCAGUAGGGGAGACUGGAAUUCCUGGUGUAGCGGUGAAAUGCGCAGAUAUCAGGAGGAACACCGAUGGCGAAGGCAGGUCUCUGGGCUGUUACUGACGCUGAGGAGCGAAAGCAUGGGGAGCGAACAGGAUUAGAUACCCUGGUAGUCCAUGCCGUAAACGUUGGGCACUAGGUGUGGGGAACAUUCCACGUUUUCCGCG
rnacentral:rRNA from 1 species